GUAAAUGGUAUUGUACACUUGAGCCCAUCUAAUUGAAGUGGUAACACGUGUAAUAUUUCUCUUUGUGUAGCACACCACGCGUACCACUGAUUUUGUGUUCAUCUGUGAUUUCUCCAAUGCCGUCUCCUUUCAGCCCAGAAGCAAUAUGGUAUUUUUUUCCUUUCUUCUGCUUCCACUCUUCUCCGGCUCUUUCAAGAACAGCUACGUUGUUGCUCUGUUGUGUCCACUUUUAUGUUCUAUGCUCAAGUUCAGACUUCAGAUUAUCUCAUCUUUCUUCUGGGCUUCACUCUCACACCUUUAAAGUGUAAUCUCUUUGCUUUGUUUUGACAUGUGUUCUGCAAUUACGCACAUUAGUAGACUCGAUUGGUUGGGCACAUGCAUAUCCGGAAUCGGCUUACAAAUAAAAGUUCUACCCACUUUCUCUUUUCCAAUACACAUUUUUUUUCUCAAGUAAAACCUCUUACCAACCUUUAUUUCUCAGUCUCUUGAUAUUCCAUUUCGAUAUUCAUCUAUGUGUCUUUAUUUAUGUUUUAUCUUGCUAUAAUUUUGGUAUUUGAAAUAUCAAGAAGCGUAAAUUUUUCUUCAUUCCUAAUGUUAUCUUUUUGGUUCUAUUUUGGGGUAAAUUUCUCAGUUUUGGGAUAAGUGAGUCAUGUUAUCUUAUUUAAAGCGAAAAAGUUAUAUUUAUUGUAGGACAUCUACAACCAUACCAAUGAAAGAUAUGGACUAAACUAUUUAUAGAUUAUGGAUUCAAAUUUGUUUGUCUGAAGUCUGAACUAAAGAGUUUUAUCAUUUGUAAAUAACAUUAGUCGGCUGUUAAAGAUGUCUUUCAAUAUAUGUACUCUAUCAAGUAAGCUUUCACUGUAGUAGAAAAUGAAACUGUAUGAAAGAGAUGAUGACUACGAGGACAAAGAUAGUCAUACUGAAAAAGUUGUCAUCACGCGAUACAUGCCAACUGCUUUAGACAUUACAUCUCUUGCUGUGCGGGGACCUGAAUUAGCGCUCUAUUUGUUUAUCAUAGAGUUUAUUGUAAGAUAUAACCUACAAUUUACAUCCGUUUGGUAUUAAACUGGGAUACAUUCUGCAUAUAUCUCUUUAGUAAUCAGAAUUUAUUUUGAACAACGGAGGAAUUAGCCACAUCACCCAUAUGUAGAAAAUGUUGUUCAAGGUUUGCACAAGCUAUUGUGCCAUAAUUUAAACUUAAUUUCAAGUAGUUUUUGUCAUUUCUAUAAUUAGCCAAAUGAGAUUCAAAAAACUUCUGUUACACUUUAUAAUCCGAAGUGCUCUACUUAUAAUCAUCAGCAAACUAUACUUCUCUCUUAAUUCCUACUCUUCUUUGAUACAUAUUUAUUGGUGGUACUUUGAGAAUACAACUUAAAUAUGAUUUACAAGAACAAGUACUAUAUGAUGUAGGCAACUUGAUAUCUCCUUUCAAUCCGUUCAUCAAGCAAAGGGAUUUAUUUUGUGCCUUUGUGCAGGACAACUAAAACUUAUAUUUGAUUGCAGCAAUGCCACAUUUUAUGCUUUCUCUUUGAUAACUCGCUAUUGGCAAACUUUGGUUUCUCAAUCUGCUUAUUUUAGCUGAAGUGAGUUUUUACUUUGUUGUUGUUCCUAACGUUUUUUUAAGGAAAAGGAAGUGUUGACCUUCCGUCACUAGCCAUACGUGUCAUCCUUCUUUUAUGGUACAAUCAAAUAACAUUUCUCUGUGCAGGAUAAAGACCUUUAACCAAUCUGCUUGCUCUUCAGUACUGUGACAUUGUGAGUUAUUGAAUUCUUUCUUAAGUGCUAAUUUGUGUUUAAAUGUCUCUCAUUUUUAAUUGUUUGUUCUCCUUAGUGGUUAAAUCAUUAAGGAUAACAAGACUGGGAUAGCCUUUGGCUGCUUUCAUUUGUAAGUUUGAGAUUCCAGUAAAACCAUGGCUACAAGUAUUUACAGUGAAAUGUUGCGUCUCAAUUCCAGAAAAACAUCCGUUGCAAUUCA